AUCAGUUAUAAUAUAUUUGAUAAUGUUUUUAUACGGAUAACCGUGGGAAACCAGAGCUAAUACGUGCACUAAAGGCCUUUUGGCUGUAUUUAUUAGUUAUAAACCAAUGGCUUCGGCUUUUGUGAUGAUUCAUAAUAACUGAUCGAAGCGAACUGGUGUUCGCUAAAUCUUUCUAGUUUCUGCCCUAUCAGCUUUCGAUGGUAGUGUAUUGGACUACCAUGGCUAUCACGGGUAACGGAGAAUUAGGGUUCGAUUCCGGAGAGGGAGCCUGAGAAACGGCUACCACAUCCACGGUAGGCAGCAGGCGCGUAAAUUACCCAAUCCUGACUCAGGGAGGUAGUCACGAGAAAUCUUAGAUUGGCCCAAGUGGCUGAAUAUAUGAUGGAUUUAAUAUAGACCAUUUUUUGAAAUCAAUUGGAGGGCAAGUCUCGGUGCCAGCAGCCGCGGUAACUCCAGCUCCAAUAGUGUAUAUUAACGUUGCUGCAGUUAAAAAGCUCGUAGUUGAAUUUCUGGAGGGCGGCCUUUCCCAAGGGAUCGUGCGGCUACUUCAUCCGCGCAGGAAGGUACUACAGUCUUACUUAGUGCUGGAUGCGUGUUUUACUUUGAAGAAAUUAGAGUGUUCCAGGCAGGCUUUGCUUGAAUACAUCAGCAUGGAAUAAUGGAAUAGGACAAUUCGAUUUUAUUGGUUAUUUGAAUUGUAAUGAUUAACAGGGACAGUUGGGGGCGUUUGUAUUCAAUAGUCAGAGGUGAAAUUCUUGGAUUUGUUGAAGACAAACUAAUGCGAAAGCAUUCGCCAAGGAUGUUUUCAUUAAUCAAGAACGAAAGUUAGGGGAUCAAAGACGAUUAGAUACCGUCGUAGUCCUAACCAUAAGCUAUACCGACUAGGGAUUGGCGAGGGGAUUGGCUCUUGUCAGCACCUAAUGAGAAAUCAAAGUCUUUGGGUUCUGGGGGGAGUAUGGUCGCAAGGCCGAAACUUAAAGGAAUUGACGGAAGGGCACCACCAGGAGUGGAGCCUGCGGCUUAAUCUGACUCAACACGGGGAAACUUACCAGGGCCGGACCUGAGUAUGAUUGACAGAUUGAUAGCUUUUUCUUGAUGACGGGGAUGGUGGUG
rnacentral:rRNA from 1 species